GCAGGUGUUUCAUCUUCCCAAAUGAAGUAUUUGGGGAUGAAAAAAAUUUCAGAUCUGCGAAUUUCUUGGUUGUGUGAUAUUAUAGACAUGAAAAAUAGACAACUAACAAGGAGAUAUCCUUAAAUGAGGGCACAGAAGCAUUUGCAUCAGUGAAAAAACGAAAAAUGCCUUUGCUUUCCCUCCUGUUCCCCACACUACGUGCACACACACGUACUCCUAACUCACACACACACACAUCUAAUUCUUUCUCACACACACCCCCAUGCACGCAGACAGGCACCCCUUCCCCUCAAUUCCUCACCCCAGGACUCGGAUGAUCAAUGCCCAGGCUCAGCCUUGCUCCUGCUGAAGUCACAUUCCCUGCUGCUUUUAGCUGUAUCGAUCCGAUGCCUGACCUGUGAAAUCCUUGAUGGCUGCUAACACUAGAAGCUUACUGGAGCUUUCCAAGGGAGCUUCGGGACAGCUUGUGUAGUCAGCAGUGGUCCUCACAUUUCCUCACAUGUUUUGGAAAGAAUUAUAAGAACAUGAUAAACUAGAUUUACAGUCUUCUCUUUAAACUACGAAAAUUGCCUUGUGCCAUUUAUGAUCCAGUUUCUGGACUAAUUGUAUCAGCUCAAAGAGUGUAGAGUCUACGUUUUUAACCUCUGAGACAUGCCUGGAAGUAGAACUAAGUGUGAUUCUUCAUGUAAAGACUACAAGGAAGAGAAAAAAUUGGAUUUCCCAAACUUGAUAGAGG
rnacentral:lncRNA from 1 species